CAAGUAAUACCGCGUGAGGGACGAAGGUCUGUGGAUUGUAAACCUCUUUUGUCAGGGACGAUAAUGACGGUACCUGACGAAUAAGCGGUUAGCCUCGGCUAACUCCGUGCCAGCAGCCGCGGCCAUAAGACGGCGAGGAGGCGGUUAAGCGUUAUCCGGAAUUAUUGGGCGUAAAGCGUACGCAGGUGGAUUGACAAGUCUUUUGUCAAAGAUA
rnacentral:rRNA from 1 species